UGGUAGUUGUAUUGUCGUUUCAGAAAC
rnacentral:piRNA from 1 species